CUUUUGUUAGAACCAUGUGAAUGGCAUUGUUUUUUCUGUAUUGCAAAUUAGUAUUUCUACCACUCUCCCCAGGCCUACACGCCCAGACACACACAUACCCAACCAAAAAAAUCUCCCAAGCUCCUCUCUUAGAAUAUCCUCCGAAUCCUAAAUCUAGAGCUCCAAGGAUGCUGGUCAUUAAGAAAGGUAAUACAAAAGACUUACAGCUAUCUGGAUUCCCAGUAGUAGGAAAUCUUCCGUCACAGCCAGUUAAGAAUGGAACUGGUCCAAGUGUUUAUAAAGGUUUAGUCCCUAAACCUGCUGCUCCACCUACAAAACCUACACAAUGGAAAAGCCAAACAAAAGAAAAUAAAGUUGGAACUUCUUUCCCUCAUGAGUCCACAUUUGGCGUUGGCAACUUUAAUGCUUUUAAAUCAACUGCCAGGAACUUUAGUCCAUCUACAAAUUCAGUGAAAGAGUGUAAUCGCUCAAAUUCCUCUUCUCCUGUUGACAAACUUAAUCAGCAGCCUCGUCUAACCAAACUGACACG
rnacentral:sRNA from 1 species